rnacentral:siRNA from 1 species
UAUAGGUGGUUACAGUUGGUUC